UACGUAGGGGGCAAGCGUUGUCCGGAUUUACUGGGCGUAAAGAGCGUGUAGGCGGCCAGGCAGGUCUGUUGUGAAAACUGGAGGCUUAACCUCCAGACGUCGACAGAAACCGUCUGGCUAGAGUCCGGAAGAGGAGAGUGGAAUUCCUGGUGUAGCGGUGAAAUGCGCAGAUAUCAGGAAGAACACCGAGUGCGAAGGCAGCUCGCUGGGACGUAACUGACGCUGAGACGCGAAAGCGUGGGGAGCAAACAGG
rnacentral:rRNA from 1 species